rnacentral:rRNA from 1 species
UAAAAACCCCGACUUCGGAAGGGGUGUAUUUAUUAGAUACAAAACCAAUGCCCUUCGGGGCUCUUUGGUGAUUCAUGAUAACUAUACGAAUCGCACGGCCUUGCGCCGGCGAUGGUUCAUUCAAAUUUCUUCCCUAUCAACUUUCGAUGUUUGGGUAUUGGCCAAACAUGGUUGCAACGGGUAACGGAGGGUUAGGGCUCGACCCCGGAGAAGGAGCCUGAGAAACGGCUACUACAUCCAAGGAAGGCAGCAGGCGCGCAAAUUACCCAAUCCCGACUCGGGGAGGUAGUGACAAUAAAUACUGAUACAGGGCCCUUUCGGGCCUCGUAAUUGGAAUGAGUACAAUUUAAAUCCCUUAACGAGGAACAAUUGGAGGGCAAGUCUGGUGCCGGCAGCCGCGGUAAUUCCAGCUCCAAUAGCGUAUAUUAAAGUUGUUGUGGUUAAAAGCUCGUAGUUGAACCUUGGGCCUGGCUGGCCGGUCCGCCUCACCGCGUGCACUGGUCCGGCCGGGCCUUUCCCUCUGUGGAACCCCAUACCCUUCACUGGGCGUGGCGGGGAAACAGGACAUUUACUUUG